rnacentral:rRNA from 1 species
CCCUUAGAUGUCCGGGGCUGCACGCGCGCUACACUGUAGAAAGCAGCGUGCUUUAAAACCUUUCCUGAAAAGGAUGGGUAACCCCAGCAAAAUUCUACGUGCUUGGGAUAGAGAUUUGCAAUUUUCUCUCUUGAACGAGGAAUGCCUAGUAAACGCAAGUCAUCAGUUUGCAUUGAUUACGUCCCUGCCCUUUGUACACACCGCCCGUCGCUCCUACCGAUUGAAUGAUCCGAUGAAUACCAUGGAUUGAGAGUUCGAAUAGGUUCGCCUAUUUCAGCUUCUCGAGAAGUGGAGUAAAUCUUAUCAUUUAGAGGAAGGAGAAGUCGUAACA